UACAGAGGGUGCGAGCGUUAAUCGGAAUUACUGGGCGUAAAGCGUGCGUAGACGGUUAUCUAAGUCGGAUGUGAAAGCCCCGGGCUCAACCUGGGAAUUGCAUUCGAGACUGAAUAGCUAGGGUACGGUAGAGGGAAGUGGAAUUUCCGGUGUAGCGGUGAAAUGCGUAGAUAUCGUAAGGAAGACCAGUGGCGAAGGCGGGUCUCUGGACAGUUCCUGACGCUGAGGCACGAAGGUCAGGGGAGCAAACAGG
rnacentral:rRNA from 1 species